rnacentral:rRNA from 1 species
GAUGAACGCUGGCGGCGUGCCUAAUACAUGCAAGUCGAGCGGUAAGGCCCUUCGGGGUACACGAGCGGCGGACGGCUGAGUAACACGUAGGAACGUACCCCAAACUGCGGGAUAAGCACCAGAAAUGGUGUCUAAUACCGCAUGUGGCCCACGGGCUAAAGCUCCGGCGGGUUGGGAACGGCCUGCGUCCGAUUAGCUAGUUGGUAGUGUAAUAGACUACCAAGGCGACGAUCGGUAGCUGGUCUGAGAGGAUGAUCAGCCAGACUGGGACUGAGACACGGCCCAGACUCCUACGGGAGGCAGCAGUAGGGAAUUUUCCACAAUGGGGGCAACCCUGAUGGAGCAACGCCGCGUGCAGGAUGAAGGCCUUCGGGUUGUAAACUGCUUUUAUCUGUGACGAUUAUGACGGUAGCAGAUGAAUAAGGACCUGCUAACUACGUGCCAGCCGCCGCGGUAA